GUCUGUGGCCAUAUCACCCUGAAUGCGCCCGAUCUCCUCGGAUCUCUGAAGCUAAGCAGGGUUGGGCCUUGUUAGUACUUGGAUGGGAAACCGCUUGGGAAUACCGGAUGCUGUAGAGU
ensembl:rRNA 5S_rRNA 5S ribosomal RNA